rnacentral:misc_RNA from 1 species
UACGAAGGUCCCGAGCGUUGUUCGGAAUCACUGGGCGUAAAGGGAGCGUAGGCGGCGAGGUAAGUCAGAUGGGAAAUCCCGGGGCUCAGCCCCGGAACUGCAUCCGAUACUGCCGUGCUAGAGGAUUGGAGAGGUAGCUGGAAUUCUCGGUGUAGCAGUGAGAUGCGUAGAGAUCGAGAGGAACACUCGUGGCGAAAGCGAGCUACUGGACGAUAUCUGACGCUGAGGCUCGAAGGCCAGGGUAGCGAAAGGG